rnacentral:lncRNA from 1 species
CAAAAAGUGCUAUAAGACUCCCAAAAGAAUGCCAAAGGGAAGCCAAGCACACUCGAGCAACAACCCGAUCCGGCCAUGUGACAGCCCACAUGUGCCCACGACACAUGCCCAUGACAUUGGCAUAUGCCCACAGAAGGCAGCCUACGAGCCCCGCAUGCAUGUCGUGACACGUGCCCACGACAGCCCCAUGUGCGUGUACGGACGCACACCUCAUGGACGCGGACACCAGACAAGGCGUCAGGCACCAACGCCACCCAGACGACCCAUGUGCACCGACAGCUGCACAUGGCACGGCGGCCAACCCACCAGGCGCGCACACAGGCGCCCACGCCCAUCAGACGGCCGCCCAUGCCAGACAUGGCAUGGCGCGCGCGGCCCCAUGCGCGCGCGCCCCAGCAUGCGCACGACCAUACGCGCGCGUCCCUGCAUCCGCACGCCCCACGCCCCGAAGCGCCGAGAAGCUUCCAGAAGAAUCGGGAAGGCGCGCGACACUUCGCGAGGCGCGCGCCCAGCGCCCGCGAAGAAGGACACCCGCGCGCGCGCGCAGAAGGCUCUGGAAGGCGCGCGCGCGCGCCAGACACCCCCAGAUGCUUCCAGAAGGCCCCAGACACGCCCCUGUGCGUGCUGCUCCGCCCAUGCUCGGUCUAGACAGCCCCAGAAGCUUCUAGAACGCCCGAGACAGUACCAGAAUGUGCCAGAAUGGUCUGGACACGCCCGAGAAGGCCCUGGAACAUGCUGGAACGUGCUGGACAAAGCUAGAACGUGCUAGAAGGCUACAAUGACGGUCUGGAAGUGUCAUGAAAGGUCUAGUCCUCUCUAGAAUGUUCUAGGCUUCCUUGUAAUGUACUAAACCCUCUUGUAUCAUCUAGAAUAUUCCUUGGCCGACCUUAUGAGGCCCUAGGUCGGUUUGGCAAGGUUAUAAAUACUUGUAAGGGCCCUCAUUUGUAAAGGGGAGGAAGGAAACCAAUAAGAGAAAGGGUUCUCUUAAGCUCUCUCAACUUCUCACUCACUCUCUUGCCAACCCAUUGUAAUUUCUAAGUGCCUUAGGUGCACUAAUCAUCUUCCGCUGCAUUUUAUUGAGGUUAUUCAUAGUGCUUGGUGCACUAACCUCUUGUUAAGGCUUACUUGGCUAACGGGGACGACAUAGUCAAGCCAAGUGCCGCACGGUUGGUUAGCUUCAGAUCCUAACCACGUGACAUUUGGUAUCAGAGCAGUUCGAUUCUGCGGCACCAACGGAUUUGGUAUCAGAGCAGUUCGAUUCUGCGGCACCAACGGAUUUGGUAUCAGAGCAGUUCGAUUCUGCGGCACCAACGGAUUUGGUAUCAAAGCAGUUCGAUUCUGCGGCACCAACGGAUUUGGUAUCAGAGCAGUUCGAUUCUGCGACACCAACGGAGUUGGUAUUGAAGUCGUUCGACUACGUGGCUUCAACGGGAACUUUUGGCAAGAGUGUCAUGCUCCCAAAAGGAGGAGGACAUCCAGAGCCCGAAGUCUGGAAUCGGGAAUCAAGAGCCCUAAAGUCUUGAAUCUCCUUAGGAUGUAUCGGAGCAAUGGUGUGAGGACCUAGGUACACCUAAGCGAUGUGAUGAGGUUGUCAAGAUGAGAAGAGACGAUCGGAGUUGGAUUGCGAAAGGCAAGGUCAACCGUGGAUGGUGAGCUCCACGCAAAAAUGGUGCCAAUGACAAAGACUCCUCGAUGAUGAUGGCGCAACAACAAAGGACCGGAAUGCGCACCGCCUUGCGCAUAACCUUGGAUCAGCAUGCGCGCCGUCUCGCGCAUACUCACGGGAAGCACUCCGGAACGUGCUAACUCUUCGGCGUCGCAACGAGGGCGUUGCGAAGUUUGAGUGGGGGAGGGUGUCACGUGUGAAAUUUUGACCCCAAGAAUCACCCCCAAAAUUGCGCCAAUUCGUGCCACGACUCCUUCAGCAAGGCCCAGGAGCAGCCCAACGUGGUCCUAAGACAGCCCAAGGGCGACCACGACAUAUGCCUACGGCAUUGGCAGGCACCUCUCGAGGACAACUCACAAGCCCCGCACGCGUGCCACGACGAGUGCCCAUGACAGCCCGAGUGUCAGCCCACGACACAGCCCCAUGGCACGCCCAGAUGCCCGUUAACACGGCCAUAGGCGCCCGGCACCAGCGCCCACCAUCGGACCCAUGCGCACGGGCACAUGCGCAUGGCAAGGCGGCAAGACAAGAAACUGCGCGCGCAGUGUCACAAUCGUAGCGUUUCAACCUCGAGACGGACGAUUGUGCGGCACUUGUUCUAACUCACGAACAAGUCAGCCGAUCAAAAUCCAAGAGUUGUGGGUAACGUCGAUGUAUGUCGUAACCUUCCUUCGCGUUUUAGGGAAAUUUUAUUUAUAAAACGCGGGAAAGAAAGAAAUACAUUGAAAUAGACGUUACAAUAAGCAUUAAAGACUGUCAGUUGCAAGGAAAAAGGGUAGCUUGCAAAGAGUACAACUAAUGCUUGGGCGGGGAUUCAACUGGUAUGCCUCCCCUAUAGUACAUUUUGAACAUUUUCUUCUCUGGCAGGCUUGCAUAUGGAAAAUGCCGAAACGUCACACCCAAGCUUUAUGACCUAGAAUGGAAAGCAAACACCUAAACUAGUUAUGCAAAGUAAAGAUGGGAUAAACUGGGGGUAAUCGGAGCAUAUAACCAAAGGUAAACACACUUUGGAAAAAUAUGUCCGUGACACGCAGCACGCGCGAACCCCAGUCGGCCGCCCAUGCUCGUCCAGGCAUGGCGCGCAUGACCCCGCGCGCGCGCAGCCCACGCCCGCGACAGGCGCGCGCGGCCCCAGCGCGCGCGCCCGUGUCCGCCCAACGUCCAGACGGCCCCAGAACCUCCGAGAAGCUUCCAGAAGAAUCGGGAAGGCUCGCGACACUUCGCGAGGCGCGCACGGUGCGCCCCAACGCGCGCGCGCGCGGAAGGCUCCGGAAGGCCCGCGCGCGCGCCCGACGCCCCCAGAUGCUUCCAGAAGGCUCCAGACACGCCCAUGUGCGUGCUGCCCCGCCCAUGCUCGGUCUAGACAGCCCCAGAAGCCUCUAGAACGUCCGAGACAGUGCCAGAAUGCGCUGGAAUGCGCGGGAAGCUCCCGAGAAGGCCCCGGAACGUGCUGGAUGAUGCUGGAACGUGCUGGAACACUCUAGAAGGCUAUUAUGACGGACAGCGAGUGUCAUGAAAGGUCUAGUCUUCUCUAGAAUGUUCUAGGCUUCCUUGUUAUGUACCAAAUGAACUUGUAAUCUCUAGAAUCUCCCUUGGCCGACCUUCUAAGGUCCAAGGUUGGUGAGGAUGGUCUAUAAAUACUUGGGGAGGGCGUCAUUUGUAUCAAGCCUUGCAACCUUGUAUCUUGGCAUGUCUUAGCCAAGCAAGGUCACCUUGCCACCCAAAGUCUCCUUGCCCAUGGUAUCCCCAUGACAAGGAGACAGCAUAUUUGUACCCAAAUAUGUAUUCAUCUAUUCUUGGAAUGUAAUGUAUCAUUCCCAAGACGUGUCCAUCCAAACUCCCUCAUCCUUCCAACCUCUCUCGUGUCUUGCAACCAACCUAAGUACUUCCGCUGCAACCCGUUGGCGUAGUGCUUGGCGCACUACCCCUUCCGGGAAAGGCUUACUUGGCUACGUGGGCAACGUAGUUAGCCAAGUGCCGCACGUAUGGUUAGCUUCAGAUUCUAACCACGUGACAUUUGGUAUCAGAGCAGUUCGAUUCUGCGGCACCAAUGGAGGUGGUAUCAGAGCGUGUUCGUUCGAAGGGACAUACUCUUAAUCGUUGGUAUCAAGUACACGAUACCGAGGGACCGGGAUUCAAGACCCCUAGUUCUUGAAACGUUGUCGAGGUGUAUCGGAGCAACGGUGUGAGGACCUAGGUACGCCUUAUCGCUUUACCCUAUUUAUUGACUCGAAUGGCAUCCAGGGAAGGAUACGAGUCACCGAUUGAGCAAGUCGUUGAAGGGCCAACGACACGUGGACGUGCUGCACAACGUUCCCCAUCCCGACAGAACAAGGCAACAACGUC